GCAGUCGUGGCCGAGUGGUUAAGGCGAUGGACUCGAAGUCCAUUGGGGUGUACCCGCGUAGGUUCGAAUCCUACCGGCUGCG
rnacentral:tRNA from 1 species